rnacentral:rRNA from 1 species
GACGAGGGGUCCAAGCGUUGUUCGGAAUCAUUGGGCGUAAAGCGGGUGUAGGUGGCUUUAUAAGUCAGAAGAUGAAAGCCCCGGAGCCUUAACUUGGGAAGUGCUUUUGAUACUGUAGAGCUUGAGUGUGGGAGAGGAUCGUGGAAUUCCAGGUGUAGUGGUGAAAUACGUAGAUAUCUGGAGGAACACCGGUGGCGAAGGCGGCGAUCUGGCCCAACACUGACACUGAGACCCGAAAGCGUGGGAUCGAAACAGGAC